rnacentral:rRNA from 1 species
AAAUGAAUAGACGGGGGCCCGCACAAGCGGAGGAGCAUGUGGUUUAAUUCGAUGAUACGCGAGGAACCUUACCCGGGCUUGAAAGUUAAGGAAUGAUGUGGAAAUAUGUCAGUCAGCAAUGACCUGAAACUAGGUGCUGCAUGGCUGUCGUCAGCUCGUGCCGUGAGGUGUUAGGUUAAGUCCUGUAACGAGCGCAACCCCUAUCAUUAGUUGCCAGCGGGUUAUGCCGGGGACUCUAAUGAGACUGCCUGCGCAAGCAGUGAGGAAGGUGGGGAUGACGUCAAGUCAUCACGGCCCUUACGUCCGGGGCUACACACGUGCUACAAUGGCCGAUACAAUGGGCUGCUACAUGGUAACAUGAUGCAAAUCUCUAAAAUCGGUCUCAGUUCGGAUUGAGGUCUGCAACUCGACCUCAUGAAGCUGGAUUCGCUAGUAAUCGUACAUCAGCAAUGGUACGGUGAAUACGUUCCCGGGCCUUGUACACACCGCCCGU